rnacentral:rRNA from 1 species
CCACCCUACGGGGCGCAGCAGUGGGGAAUAUUGCACAAUGGGGGAAACCCUGAUGCAGCGACGCCGCGUGAGUGAAGAAGUAUUUCGGUAUGUAAAGCUCUAUCAGCAGGGAAGAAAAUGACGGUACCUGAUUAAGAAGCCCCGGCUAACUACGUGCCAGCAGCCGCGGUAAUACGUAGGGGGCAAGCGUUAUCCGGAUUUACUGGGUGUAAAGGGAGCGUAGACGGCGAUGCAAGCCAGAUGUGAAAGCCCGCGGCUCAACUGCGGUAGUGCAUUUGGAACUGUAUGGCUGGAGUGCAGGAGAG